UCGUGUGUUUCAGUUAGUGAGUGAUUUGAAUUCAUGGAAAUGGCUGAAGAAUCAGCGAGUGAAUUUAGUAGAAUUUUAGAUGGGGAGAAGUUUUUCAAAAUCCUUAAAGUAGAAGGUGGAAGAAAGGUGGAGGCGAAAUGCCUCAAGUGUGGGAAAAUUGUGAAAGGAACGGCGAAGCAAUCGACUAAUUAUUUAUCGCACUUGAAGGAAAAAGGGCAUGAAGAAUGUUUGAACGAGUAUUUAGCAGCUCCGAAAAAGAAGGUACAGUCCAAACCAAAACACUCGACGUGCCAAGAGAAAUUACAAUCGACGUUAAACUUUCCAACAAUAAGUUGUACCUCAUCCAGCAAAGCCGCGGAAUCUAAGGCCGAUACUCUCGUAACAGAUUACAUAAUCGAUGGUAUACUUCCUUUGACAACAGUGCGAAAACUUUCUUUCAAGAAGCUUGUAAACGGACUGCAAGGCAAAAAAACUGGAUUCUCCAAUCUUGUCAUAUGAGAAACUGGUUGGCUAUUUGGAUCAAAGAGUUGCUGAAUUUGUGAUUAGCAUGAAAAAGGUAAUCUUCAACACUAAAUUCAUCUGCGUAACAUGUGAUGCUUGGUCUGGCGCAGGUCGCAAUUACUUAGGCGCCACUAUCAGUUGCAUAGCACCAGGUGACCGAGGGUUGAAACGAAAGUCAUAUGUAAUUGCACUUCAAAGAUUUGAUGGCGCUCAUACAUAUGACCGUAUCCGUGAUGUGCUCUUGAAUCUGAUGGACAAAUACGAAAUUCCUCUAGAUAAAGUUGUGGGAGUCGUUACGGAUGGAGGUAGCAAUUUCAUCAAGCUUUUGAGGUUUAUGGAUCACAAUUCAGAGAUUACUACAUUGAUGCUGAUAAUAAGGAUGAUAAUGAAGCAGAAUUAACCAUCGUCAAUAUUGACGAUGGCGUCCUUGAAGGUUUGGAAGCAGAUACACGCCAAAGAAAACUUCCUCCUCAUUUCAAAUGCGUACCCCACACCUUACAUAGAAUUGCGUCCGCUGAUGUUGGAAAGCUGCUCUCCUCCAAUAAAACAUCUUCCGUCCAAGCUUUAAAUAAGGCACUGUCCUAUAGCAGCGAACUUUGGAAGCUUUGUGCUUAUCCAAAACAACGUGAGAAAGUUCAACAAGUCUGUGGAAAACUUUUCAUCAAGCCAAUCGACACAAGAUGGAACAGCAUGUUCCGUGCUAUCGAAAGAGUAGUGCAGAUGUUCGAUAAGCUAGACUCACUGUACAAAACAUUCCCGGAUAUUAACAGGCUGAGCGAUUAUCAUAGAACACUUUUGAAAGAGUAUCUUAUUAUUAUGGAGCCAAUUGCGAAUGCAAUCGAUGAUCUGCAAAGUGACAGCGUUUUUCUUGGCGACUUCCUACCUUCGCUAA